AUUAAAACGAUUACUCCCAGGCCUAGAAGGAGGGAAAGCAACACUGUGUUCCAUAUAUGGGAAAGAAGACAGGAAGGAAGGAGGGAAAGAUGGCAAACCGGAAGAAAAAAACAAUCCAGCCGGAGCUGAGUUUCCUGCUCGUCCUAAAGGGGCUCUGCAAGCCCAGCCUUCUUCCUGGAGAAAGCCUGUGUUGUUCUGCUCCUGCCAAGGAUAAGCCGCUGCCAGAAUGUGACUUUUAACAGUCAGUCAGGAACUUGAGGUCAGCACCAAUGAGUUAACCUGUCACAUGGGUCUUCUCCAAGCCAAGGUAAUCUGCAAGAUAAGACCCCACCUGCUCUGCCCGGUAAGGGAAGGUGACCUUGCCUGAAACAAUCUUUUCUUUUGUUAAUCUUCUUGGCCUAUAAAUGCCUUCCGUUUUGUUUAACUUCUGGGAGCAUCUCUGCUUGGUGGAUGGGAUGCCACCCAAUUCUUG